AGUGCCAGCGCUAUUUGUACAUGAGGACACCUCCUUGCUGUUGCAACUCUGAGGACAAUUGCUUCAAAUGGGAAGGAACAACCAGCAGUGCCAGCGCUAUUUGUACAUGAGGACGACGAGAGGGUUCCACUCACCCCCUGUGUGGUGUAUUCUGGCCACAACCUGGAACAGGCAGAGUUUCUCCACCUCUGUGUCGACAAGGAGCGGCUGUUCAUGGUCAAAAAUGCGGAGGAAGGGGUCAUCGCAAUCAUGAGUGCAUUUUUUGUAUUGAACAUAGUAUAUGGGCCUAAAUACUUCAACACCAGUGCAGUACUGGAAUGAUUGUUUUUUGGUUUGAAUGUAACAAUGCCAAGUGGUUGUUACAAAGUUUGU